ACACGACUACAUUAGAUACCCGCGUAGUCCUAGCCGUAAACGAUACUCGCUAGGUGUCGGCCACGGUGCGACCGUUGUCGGUGCCGUAGGGAAGCCGUGAAACGUGCCGCCUGGGAAGUACGGUCGCAAGGCUGAAACUUAAAGGAAUUGGCGGGGAGCACCACAACAGGUGGAGCCUGCGGUUUAAUUGGACUCAACGCCGGAAAUCUCACCGGAUAAGACAGCAGAAUGAUUGCCGGGCUGAAGACUCUGCAUGACUAGCUG
rnacentral:rRNA from 1 species